rnacentral:rRNA from 1 species
AUGGUGAACAACCUCUGGCCAAUGGAACAAUGUAGGCAAGGGAAGUCGGCAAAACGGAUCCGUAACUUCGGGAAAAGGAUUUGCUCUGAGGACUGGGCUCAGGGGUCCCGGCCCCGAACCCGUCGGCUGUCGGCAGAUUGCUCGUGUUGCUCACGCGGCAAGAGCAGGUCGCCGCGUGCCGGCCAGGGGACGGACCAGGAAUCGCCCCUUCGGGGGCUUUCCCCGAGCAUGAAACAGUCGACUCAGAACUGGUACGGACAAGGGGAAUCCGACUAUUUAAUUAAAACAAAGCAUUGCGAUGGUCCUCGCGGAAACUGA